rnacentral:rRNA from 1 species
CCUACGGGUGGCAGCAGUGGGGAAUAUUGGACAAUGGGCGAAAGCCUGAUCCAGCAAUACCGCGUGAAUGAUGAAGGCCUUAGGGUUGUAAAGUUCUUUUAGUAGGGAUACGGUACCUACAGAAAAAGCCCCGGCUAACUCCGUGCCAGCAGCCGCGGUAAGACGGAGGGGGCUAGCGUUGUUCGGAAUUACUGGGCGUAAAGAGCGCGUAGGCGGAUUAGUAAGUUGGAAGUGAAAGCCCGGGGCUUAACCUCGGAAUAGCUUUCAAAACUACUAGUCUUGAGUGUAGUAGGGGAUGAUGGAAUUCCUAGUGUAGAGGUGAAAUUCUUAGAUAUUAGGAGGAACACCGGUGGCGAAGGCGGUCAUCUGGCUCAACUGACGCUGAGGCGCGAAAGCGUGGGGAGCAAACAGGAUUAGAUACCCUUGUAGUC